AAUUUAAGUCAUAGGAUAACAUGCAUGACUAGAUUGACACGCGUAAGAUGUAAUCAUCAUCUUUUUUUUUUGAAGUGACGUCAGUAAUUUAUAAGAUGAGAAUCAAUGCCAUCGUCAGAAUCUUUUGCUCUCUUUGUAAUGCAAAUAAUUGUCGAAUUCAUGUCUUGUGUCAAUAAUGUACUAUAAUAGAACAAUAAGCAUUUCACAAUGAAGGAAUCACGGCUUUUUUUUUAUUAAAAAAAAAAUAGGUGCCGGUACUCAGUGAUUGAUUGCCUAACUUUUAACUACUAAUAAAUUAAUAAUAUAGAUCUACGUUAAAAUACAAGAAAAGUAAUAAUUUUUCCCCCACAUUCCAAAAAGGUGCCGGUACUCCGUAGCGAUGCCUUCCGUCACAAAAAAAGCCCUGCGUAUAUAGAUCUAUAUUGUUAUGUCUCUCCUACUGUUCAGGCUCUCUUCUAACUGCACCUUACGACACAACGAACUUAAAGAACCUCACAACUCAGUGCUCCAAAGUAUCAGAUCAGUCAGUUUAAUGACAAAUACAUCGCAAUUGGCAACAACAUUAACACUGUCUUUACAAAAACCUAGUCUUGUUACGCCUGACUUCACACACCGUGCUGGUUCUCGCCUCGUACUGGUCACAUUGCGAGGUAACGUGAAGUCAAGUCUUUCUAACACACUCGCUCUUAUAUAGUGUCUCUACUGGCCUACUCGAACCUUCUUGACCACUCCAGUUGAUCACUUUCGCCGUGACUUGCGUGCGUAAUAUUUACACACAGGUCGUUGCCGAACUGGCGAGUACUGUCACUGGUCACAGUUGACCGCUCUUCCUGCGCUGGACAGUGGCGAUUUGGCCCUGUUUUGAAUACAACUAGAUCAACAACUUCUGAAACUCCAAUAAUACUACCUGCAAGUGCUGCUGAAAGAAAAAUAACCAUAACAGCCUUUAAAUUUACUACAUAUAUUCUAAUGCUGACAACAUCAUUUAGAUCUAGAUGCUGCCUGAAGAUUUCAUGUCUGUGGCAUUUUACGUCUCGAGAAAAGAUAUUUUCCCUUUGCAACUUCUUGUGUGGCUAAAGAGGCCAAUUGAUACACAGCUGUGGUCACAUGUAAUCACCAGCCACCAUUGCAUUGUCACCUUUCUUCCUGCUGCUGUUGUGUAUGGCAUCUGCAAUCGGAGACCCUUCCUUUAUGCUCUCUCUCCAUGUGGAUCUAUCCAGUGCCACCUUUUUCCCAGCCGCUAGUGUCGAUUUUGAAGAUGCACACUAUGAUAAACUCAAUGCAGUUGACUACAAUAAUCUCCAUGACCACAUUGUUUCAACAAGAACCUGUGUGCAUCACACAUUGUAAGGGUCGAAAUUGAAAAAAAAAUAUUUGUAAGCUAUGUGCCAAAAAUGCUCCUAAUAUUCAAUGAUGAGCUCUGACCAGGAUAACAAUCACACAUUGUGUCCGGAUGGCACUACAUCUGGGUAUCACUUCAAAAUAUCAUAGCACGAGAGCAGCCAUAACAAAAAGUACAACCAGACCAUUACUAUUAUUAUGGAUACAGUGAUGGUCAAUACUGUUGUUGUGUUUUCAAUAAUAGUUUAAUUGCUUUUUAGUUAGUUACAAUGCUAUUAAUAUUAAAAGGUAUUUUUU